rnacentral:tRNA from 2 species
AGGGGCGUGGCUCAAUUGGUUAGAGCACCGGUCUCCAAAACCGGCGGUUGCAGGUUCGAGUCCUGCCGCCCCUG